rfam:Gorilla gorilla gorilla genomic chromosome, chr15, whole genome shotgun sequence
GCUGGGCACAAUGGCGCACACCUGUAGCCCUAACUACACAGGAGGCUCAAGCAGGAGGAUGACUUGAGCCCAGGAGUUCUGGGCUGUAGUGCACUGUGCCAACCGGGUGUCCACACUAUGUUCAGCAUUAAUAUGGUGACCUCCCAGGAGCGGGGGACCACCAGGUUGCUUAAAGAGGGGUGAACCGACCCAGGUCAGAAAUGAAGCAGGUCAAAACUCCUGUGCCGAUCAGCAGUGGGAUCCUGCCUAUGAAUAGCCACCACACUCCAGCCUGGACAACAUAGUGAGACCCUGCCUGUA